UUUUAGCAGCACUUUACUACCUUCAAAUCAAAUUUUGGAUAACCAUUCUCUUAAGAACCAGAAGGUGAAGACCAAAAACCAUGCAGCACUUCGUAUCAACAGUGCUUCGUCCCAUCAAUUGUCUUCAUGUCGGGUCUCUGGCUCCGGUUAAACCACCACGCCAGAAGCCGAUGGAACUAGCUUGUUGAGAUGUUGGUCUAAAGGGUUUGUAAGAAGGAAGGAAAAAAAAAUCAAGAAGAGAAUGUGAAGGAAGCAUGGCCAUGGACAUAAGUGAAGUUGCCUCUACAGCUACCAAAUGUACAUACAUAAGGGUGAAAAUAUCAGUGCAUCAAAAGUGAGUCCAUCUGUGAUAUGGGUUAUAUGGGAAAAUAAUUUCUUUGGAGUAAGUAUCAAUUUUUGCACAAAUAGAAAAUACAUCAUUGUACAGCCCGAUAUGUAUAUACAUAGUUUUUUUUUUU
rnacentral:lncRNA from 1 species